rnacentral:lncRNA from 1 species
UCCAGAGGUAUACAAAAUACUUUGUGCUAAACUGCCUUUGUAGAAGCAUAGGAAGUAGCAGAAACACAAGAAAAAUGUUCUAUUUCUUACAGGUCUGGAGCGGAUAUUAUGCAAUCCCUACAACUCUACUGGUGCACGCUGCCUUGCAGGGAAUGAAGUUAAGCCAUCAAAAUAUUCAGACAAAUAUUGACAACUAGCUGUGCAAACUGAGCGUUUCCUCUGCGAACUAUGAAUGCAGAGGGGAAGAGGAUAAAUGGCAUAAAACUGGCCAACAUCAGAGGAUGUUCUACAUCAAGACACAUUCCUGGAUGAGUUAUACUGCCUGAGAAGAGUAAAAAUCUCAUGAAAAGACGGAAGGAUCUAGUGAAACAGUGCAGAGGCAUGAAGGACCAUGCAGGUGCAGCUUCAUACUGGAACAGUCUACCGAUAUUUUCCUCUCGCAAUGACUUAUUUGGUAGCAAUCGUGAAGGAUUCUUAGAAGAACAGACCAUUGGGCAGGAUGAAGAACAAUGCCUCCACAAAUGCAGGCUGAUGCUGGCUGGAUCUACAAUCCUGUCCUGUGCUCCCCCCUGGGCUGGAAGACAAACGAGAACACCUCAGGAAGAACCUGACCGAAUAACAGUGAUGCCAGCUGGAAAGGCCACCCAUCAUUUUCACUGCAGUAGGGCUAACCUGCCAAGAUGCCACAUUAGCAGCACUAAGAAAAGUGAAAGACCCCCCCAAAUCUGCUUUGCCUCUUGCAGGGACUUGUACCUUCAUGUCCACGUUAUGGGUAUGCCUGCACAGCACCAUGAAGGACAGACAUGCUAAAAACAAAAGGACAUAGUGAAGCUCCUCUGCAGCUAGACAAUGUUAAGAAAGCAGAGCGCAGUGCUGACCAACCAUUCCAUCAAGAACCAGUGCCUGGGAUUCUUGGGACACAGCACAGCCAACGUUUGCCAUGAAUGAGGGAGCAAACCACUCUGGAGCAGGUAAUGACACCUGGUUUGGAUGACAUAAUGCUUUUCAUCCAAGUGAUCCGAAGCAUUUUGGAAGCUAAGUACAAGCAUUAGCUCACCAGGUCAACAUUAACAAGUCAUUUAAGGCUGUAAAGUUAUAUUGUCAAUAGAUCCUGACAGAGGGGGUUAGAGAAUUACUGAAACUGCCCACAUCCAAUGAAAUGGGAUGCAGUUAGCAGAAAAAUUAUUGAGAAAUAUGUGACCAGAAUCUGAACCUAAACAGCUAUAAUUUUGAAGAAGAAUUCAAAAAAUUACAUACCCUCUGCUCUCCCAAAGAUGAAAUAUUACAAUGCUGGACAAGAACUUCAAAUGAUAAAUCCAUGAUAGCAGGCUACAGCAUUGACAGGGGAUGACACACAGCAGUGUGAAAUCCGAGCAAUACACUUAUUUACUUAUUUAUUUAGUCUUCAGAAAUACCAUCUGUAUCUAUGCCCUGGCAGAUUCUUACCUGGUAAAAAGCUUUUACAUGUUUUUAUGUACAUUUUACAUGUAACUUAGGUGUUGCAACAACUUUUCAGGAUGUUUGCAGUUACCUCUGUCACAAUAUGUUACUACCAUUUGUCACCAUCAAGACAGAAUAACAGAGAAAUGUAGAAAUGUUGAAGAGAGCUUAUAAAAUUCUGGUGAAAUUGGACCAUGCUAUCCCCAAGGUACAAGCCACCCUGGAGUUAAUAACACUGGAUUUUGCCUUUAGCAAAAAAUUAAAAAAAAUAAAAAUAAAAAAAUUAAAAAAUCA